rnacentral:rRNA from 1 species
ACGAAGGGUGCAAGCGUUACUCGGAAUUACUGGGCGUAAAGCGUGCGUAGGUGGUUCGUUAAGUCUGCCGUGAAAGCCCCGGGCUCAACCUGGGAAUGGCGGUGGAUACUGGCGGACUAGAGUGCGGUAGAGGGUGGUGGAAUUCCCGGUGUAGCAGUGAAAUGCGUAGAGAUCGGGAGGAACAUCUGUGGCGAAGGCGGCCACCUGGACCAGCACUGACACUGAGGCACGAAAGCGUGGGGAGCAAACAGGA